AGACGUGUAGAGGAUGAUAGUGUUACCGGACAGAUCGGUUCCACUUUAGACAGCCGUAAUGGCGGAGUACAGCCAGGCGAACCUCUUUGCGGCUCUGCUCUUCUUCAUGGCUUUAACGGUCCGGGACAUUUAUCUCGGCAGAUCGAGCCUGCAGCACGGACAUUCGCCGGGUGACAGAGUCGGCCUCUCCCCGGAUUCCCUGCCAGAAGUAGAACCCGGAAAAGUAGCCAAGUCCUCCCUGUACACAGGGCCCGUGCUCAAGUUCCAAUACUGUAUCUCCUGAGGUUACAGUAAAGUGUUCCAGGAGUACUCUCGAGCCAUCAUACAGCUGUACCCGGACAUCCACAUCAAGGGAGAAAACUUCCCCCCAACCCCCUUCAAUAGCUGUAUGGCUAACCUGAUCUCGUACCUGAAGCUCCUCUCCAUCCUUCUGAUCGUCAUGGGUCAGAAUCCCUUCAUCCUCCUUGGCCUUCACACUCCCAGAGCCUGGACCUGGAGUCAGGACAACAAGAUCUUCUCAUGUCUGAUGGCCUUCUUUCUCUGUAACAUGAUGGAGACUCACUUCCUGUCUACUGGAGCCUUUGAGGUCACUCUGAAUGACAUCCCCGUGUGGUCGAAGCUUCAGUCGGGUUAUGUCCCUAACAUCCAGGAGAUCUUUCAGAUCCUUGACAACCACCUGAAGAUGAACCAGGGAGAUCACAUGACCGUCUCCUCCACUUAAAGAUGCUCACGCAGGUGAUUUGAGGCAGGUAAACUGCUACAGCUGGGCCUCAGCCAUGCUGCAUUCAGGUGUCCUGGCUUAGUGGGAUGUUCAGCUGGUGGCGUUUAUGAAGGUCCGGCCCUAAAGCAGACUCUGUGGGGCCCGGCUGGAUGUCCUUCGCCACAAAAUAAGCAAACCCUCUGGUCCGGGUCACAACUCAGCACUACAGUACCACACGUCAGCAGGUGGAGGCAGCUGUGCUCACAGACCGCUUUGGACUCUACUGGACAGAUGUUUUAUUUAUUCAGUAUGAGGUUCAGCAAGGACAAAACUAAACAAUGGUACUACUGUUAUCUUUGUGCUAACAGAAAUAAAAUAUAAUUAAAUAAUUAAAAUCUGGUUUAAAUAAAGAGUUUGCCCUCA